CAUUUAAAUGGUUUUUCACCAGUAUGAGUCUGUUGGUGUUGUUUCAAAUUAGAAGAAUGAAAAUACCAACGGAUUCAUACUGGUGAAAAAACAUUUAAA
rnacentral:pre_miRNA from 1 species